AUAGCAAUGGGGCUCUGUUACCACCAAAGGCCAGGCAGACUUCCCUGGUCUGGGAAAUAUUGAUCUCCGAAGGCUGUGCAGAACUGGCCCCAUCCCUCACCUGGAUAUUGCUGGCCCUGGGAGCAUGAAAAUAGGAGAACUGGCCUCACUCCAAGCUAGCUGCAGCACUCAGCAGUAAAGGAACCACACAUGGUUGGAGCUGUGGGUGAACUGGCCUUACCACUCAUCUCCCAAGUGGUAGCAUGGACCAGGGAAAGAUACCCUCCUCCCUCUUGCCCCUCAUCGCCUACACACAGAUGUUCUUCUGGCCCUGCUUUCCUCACCAUGGUGGCUUUACACCUUACCCACCAUCAAGAGCCAUUCUGGACCUGAAUGGACAUUGAACUGAUGGUUCCCUUAGUCUUUACAACAUGAGAACACGUUGUGAUUCAUGAGAGUUUCAAGAAAGUGUUCCACAAAGGGCUUUUAUAAACAGAUACAUCUUG